rnacentral:lncRNA from 1 species
CGCUGGCAUGUGGGAAGACCCCUAUGAAAGGGGUUUUCAAAAUCUGAAAACUCUUCUUCAGAUCUGUGAUCAUCAGAUUUUACCUCAGAUAUCGCAUUCUAGAUUUCUAACUUUGUAAGACAUGCAUCAGCUUUGCCACUUAUCUCCUCAAAUCUUCGCACUUCAAUAUGUCCUAUUCUCGUUGUGUGAUUUCUUCAUG